UACGUAGGGGGCGAGCGUUGUCCGAAGUUACUGGGCGUAAAGAGCGCGUAGGCGGGCUUUUAAGUGAGAGGUGAAAGGUUCGGGCUCAACCCGGAGAGUGCCUUUCAUACUGGAAGCCUUGAGUGCGGGAGAGGCAAGUGGAAUGGUCGGUGUAGCGGUGAAAUGCGUAGAUAUCGAGAGGAACACCUGCGGCGAAGGCGGGUUGCUGGGC
rnacentral:rRNA from 1 species